CAGGUGGUCAGGUAGAGAAUACCAAGGCGCUUGAGAGAACUCGGGUGAAGGAACUAGGCAAAAUGGUGCCGUAACUUCGGGAGAAGGCACGCUGGUGUGUAGGUGAAGUCCCUGCGGAUGGAGCUGAGACCAGUCGAAGAUACCAGCUGGCUGCAACUGUUUAUUAAAAACACAGCACUGUGCAAACACGAAAGUGGACGUAUACGGUGUGACGCCUGCCCGGUGCCGGAAGGUUAAUUGAUGGGGUUAUCCGUAAGGAGAAGCUCUUGAUCGAAGCCCCGGUAAACGGCGGCCGUAACUAUAACGGUCCUAAGGUAGCGAAAUUCCUUGUCGGGUAAGUUCCGACCUGCACGAAUGGCGUAAUGAUGGCCAGGCUGUCUCCACCCGAGACUCAGUGAAAUUGAACUCGCUGUGAAGAUGCAGUGUACCCGCGGCAAGACGGAAAGACCCCGUGAACCUUUACUAUAGCUUGACACUGAACAUUGAGCCUUGAUGUGUAGGAUAGGUGGGAGGCUUUGAAGCGUGGACGCCAGUCUGCGUGGAGCCAACCUUGAAAUACCACCCUUUAAUGUUUGAUGUUCUAACGUUGGCCCCUUACCGGGGUUGCGGACAGUGUCUGGUGGGUAGUUUGACUGGGGCGGUCUCCUCCCAAAGCGUAACGGAGGAGCACGAAGGUUAGCUAAUCCUGGUCGGACAUCAGGAGGUUAGUGCAAUGGCAUAAGCUAGCUUGACUGCGAGCGUGACGGCGCGAGCAGGUGCGAAAGCAGGUCAUAGUGAUCCGGUGGUUCUGAAUGGAAGGGCCAUCGCUCAACGGAUAAAAGGUACUCCGGGGAUAACAGGCUGAUACCGCCCAAGAGUUCAUAUCGACGGCGGUGUUUGGCACCUCGAUGUCGGCUCAUCACAUCCUGGGGCUGAAGUAGGUCCCAAGGGUAUGGCUGUUCGCCAUUUAAAGUGGUACGCGAGCUGGGUUUAGAACGUCGUGAGACAGUUCGGUCCCUAUCUGCCGUGGGCGCUGGAGAAUUGAGGGGGGCUGCUCCUAGUACGAGAGGACCGGAGUGGACGCAUCACUGGUGUUCGGGUUGUCAUGCCAAUGGCACUGCCCGGUAGCUAAAUGCGGAAGAGAUAAGUGCUGAAAGCAUCUAAGCACGAAACUUGCCCCGAGAUGAGUUCUCCCUGAGACUUUAAGUCUCCUGAAGGAACG
rnacentral:rRNA from 1 species